GCCAGCAGCAUACCACCCUGCAUCCCACUGCUGGCUUGCUUCUGAAGCUAAGCAGGGUUGGUUCCUGGAUGGGAGACCAGAUGCUGCUGGAU
rnacentral:rRNA from 1 species